GUAACAUAUUGAGCUGACCGAUACUAAUAGGUCGAGGGCUUGACCAA
rnacentral:rRNA from 1 species